GCUUCGGUAGUGUAAUGGAUCAGCACAACAGACCGGAUAUCAGAUAAGUGCGGGUUCGAGUUCCGCCUGAAGUU
rnacentral:tRNA from 1 species